GGGCGCAUGGUUUAGUGGUAUAAUACCUCUUUAGCAUAGAGGUGGUCCUGGGUUCGAUUCCCAGUGCGUCCA
rnacentral:tRNA from 1 species